GUCCGGGAUAGCUCUGGUCACCUCCACCCGUGUUUAUUUUACCUUGUUGCUUCGGCGAGCCUGCCUUUUGGCUGCCGGGGGACAUCUGUCCCCGGGUCCGCGCUCGCCGAAGACACCUUAGAACUCUGUCUGAAGAUUGUAGUCUGAGAUUAAAUAUAAAUUAUUUAAAACUUUCAACAACGGAUCUCUUGGUUCCGGCAUCGAUGAAGAACGCAGCGAAAUGCGAUACGUAAUGUGAAUUGCAGAAUUCAGUGAAUCAUCGAGUCUUUGAACGCACAUUGCGCCCUCUGGUAUUCCGGAGGGCAUGCCUGUCCGAGCGUCAUUGCUGCCCUCAAGCACGGCUUGUGUGUUGGGCUCCGUCCUCCUUCCGGGGGACGGGCCCGAAAGGCAGCGGCGGCACCGCGUCCGGUCCUCAAGCGUAUGGGGCUUUGUCACCCGCUUUGUAGGACUGGCCGGCGCCUGCCGAUCAACCAAACUUUUUUCCAGGUUGACCUCGGAUCAGGUAGGGAUACCCGCUGACUUAAGCAUAUCAUAGAGGCGGGAGGAAAGGUGAGGCCUCGGGAUCGACCCCCCCAACGUUGUGUGAUGUGGUGUAGAGCAGAAAUCUUGUAAGCUGGGAUGAUUCGUGGUGCGCGGUUCACAAUAUAGGAAUACGU
rnacentral:rRNA from 1 species